rnacentral:lncRNA from 1 species
GGCUUCUUUCACUGAGGAAUAUGCAUUUAUGGUUCUCCCAUGUCUUUUCAUGGCUUGAAAGUCUCUAUCUCUUAGGGGCUGAAUAACAUGCCAUAGUUUUUAUGAAGCAUAGUUUAUUUAUACACAUCACCCUCUGAAGGACAUCUCAGUGACUUUCAACUUUACCUGUGUAUACAAUUUUUAUUCUAAGUGACUUCAAGCUUAGAGAACAUUUGAAAGAAUCCUACAAAGAAUUCUGUACCCUCUUUACCCAGAUUCACCCAAUGUUUAACAUUCUGUCUCACCUUUGUUUCACCAUUUCUCUCCCUGUGUCUACUAUCUAUCUCCUGUGCAUCUGACUAGCUCUAGCUAAACAAAUGCACAAUAUGCUGCGUCUAGACAUCUCAGAGUACUUUGUAAACAUGAACCCUCUAGCAUCAGUAUGUUAAGAACAAAGAAGCUCUCUCACCCUGAUAUUCUUGACUCCCCGGAAACCCCUUCAACUCCCUCCACAGGGUUCCUGAGCACAGUGUUGACAGUAACUUUGCCUCUGAUCCUCACUGCAAUGGGGCUUGCAACGAGUGGAAUCAUCUACUUCUUAUGUCGUUAAAGGGAAAGGGACACCGGAUUCAGGGCCACCUUAACCCAGGAUGAUCUACCCUCAAGAUCCAUACCUUAAUCAGCAAAACACUAUUUGCAAAGAAGUUUCCAUUCACAGUUGCAGAGAUUAGGAGUUGAACACUUGUUUUUGGGGUCCCCCUUCAGCCCACAACAGGGGGUGUGGAGUUGCAACACAAGGGCUGAAGGACAAGCACACCUUCUUGCAUGGCAGGGCCACCUCAGCGUAUGAUGAACAUAGAAAACAAGGACACUAUAGGAGUCUGAAAAUGUUUUGUGCAGUCAAGAUCUUCAUGCAAAGACAGGGUGAGUUUUAUAAAAACUAUCUCCACAUCCACCAUUUCAGAGUUUAGAAUCAGGAGCACUAUGGUAGUCAGUGACUGGAGUGGCCAGGAAAUGCCUCUUGUAUUAAGGUACUAUUUACAUACAAUGAAACAAAAAGAUUUUUAAGGCAAAACGGGGAAAAAAUUUAAACGUAAAAUUCUGUCAUGUGGGUGACUAUCUCCUCCCCUUUAGUAUGCAUUGUGCAUCUGCAUUAUA